GAAAAGAGGAGGAAGGUCUGAAGCAUAACAGCUCAUAGAGGGAACUGUGCAAAUGCUUUUCACUAAAUUUUCCCACAACCACAUCUCUGAAGAAAGAGACAAGGAAAGGGACUCUCGGCUAACUGUUGGUCUGUGUGAAGGACUCCAGUAAAGACCUCAUCUCUGGUGUUUAAGUAGAGCUAAUGUGAGGAGUAAAGAUCAUACAGCAAAAUACAACAUCCAUUAGCUGCUUGCACAUGCAAGGACAAAAAAUCUUUGAUCCCCAAAGAAUACCUUUUUCAUGGGAGUCAGGACUUCAUGCUGUACAGAAUGGGAGGGAAUGUCCAUAAGCUGUCGCAGAAGAGGAGCAUGCUGUAACAGCCUGCUCCCCACACAGGUCUGAUAUACAAAAGCACUUCAUCACUGACCUAAUUUGGGUCCAUUUAAGAUUUCCCCAGCCUCACUGAUGCUAAUCUCAUUGUCCAGGAAUCAGCAAAGGGUAAUUAGCCUCUGUGAUAAUGAUCUAUCUGUCACAAGAUCAUGCCCUCUCAUUGCACACCAUCUCGGAUGUUGUCUAACCUAGCACAGGAGUACGGAGCACAGCCAUGCACAGAGCUUAACCAAAAGGAAGCAGAAGCCCUUGCUGGGGAAGCAUGGAUGUUGCUCCACCAAUUCUGAAACAGAAAAAAACCAUAUCAUUUGUGAAGAGAACUUCAAGGAAGAACUUUACUGUGAGGGUGAGUACUGGAGCAGGCUGACCAGAGAGGUUGUGUAGUCUCCUGCUCUGGAGAUAUUCAAGACCCGCCUGGACACUUUCCUGUAACAGAGGCCUGAUCAAGAAAUAUAUCUGACUUCCUGAGAAUUAGCAUGAUUUUGAGGAGAAAUGUGUUCUCUGCCCCAUCCCACUGUGAAGAUGAGGAGUGAGGGAAUGACUGUGUAGUUCUGAGCCAUCUGAGGAGUUAAACUGCAAAGCAAUGACAGCUUAGGGACAACAGAAGCCCUCAGAGAGCUUGGCCAUGUUUUCACAUCACUCUUCAUUGCAUCAGCUACCUGUUCUCCCUGCAGAAAACCUCCAGAAGUCAUCUGUGACAUCUUCUGCAGCUUUUUGAUCUCCUGAGAUGUGAGAGGGAUCCUGGCUGAAGGGCUUGCAGCUUUGAGAUGAGGCAGGCACAUAUGAGACAAGGCAGCCACCUCUGUUGAUCCCUCAUCCUCAUGCAUGGUAGUAAGGAAGAAAGCUAUGAAUUACAAAUUUUGAAUUUUGCUCUGGGUGUGGACUCACUGGUGGUCAUGAGUGAGGACCUCAGGUGCUUCUAGGCUGGAAGGGAAGAAUGGGACCAGAUGUACACCAGGCAGUCAAAGCGGUCGAAGCUCUGUACACCCACAGCUUGCUGGUGAGCACUGGGUUUUGAAAAUGGAGGAAGGUAAAGAGAGAACUAAUGCAGGUAGGCUGUGGCUGUUGUACGUGUGGCCAUGUGUUCCUGGUUCCUCCCUGUAUUCUCUCUAGUGAAUCUUGCUUCCUGGUUCAGUGUUUUCGUAAUAAUGGCAUAUUAAUAACUACGUAACCCACUGUCUUCUCUAUCCUUGACUCAGUUCCCAGAAGCCCCACUCCUUCCCAUCCCUUCAUGCCCCUCCCUGCCACCAUGAGAGAUGAACAGAAGCAGGCUCUCCUUCUGUAUCUCUGGCUCAGGUGACCUUUCCACAGCUGCCACUUUGAACCUGCCUCAUGGAGGGGGCUUGUGCCCCUUGUGCUCUGCUGCUCUAGGGGAGCGAGACUUGGCUCCAGCAGGCUCACAAGUACACCCCUGUAGAGAGGAGCAGGGAUAAAUGGAGGAUUAACCGCAGCUAUGUGUCUGCCGUCAAAAUGUCUAGAAAGCCUAUUUUUUAAACAACCUGAUUGCAUGUAGGAGUAAUUUCAGUGGCCUGUACUUCUUAGCUCUUUUUUUGUAUUUUGUGGUAUGUGUCAGUGAACAGAACUUAAUAAUACUUCACCCAUAUGAACCUCUGUGAUUGCAUGCAGUUUCAGCAGAAAAACAAAAUUAAUUCUCUCACUUCACAGUAGUUUUUUGGAUAAUAAGCUGACCUUUUGUAUUUAUUUUGUACAUAGAAAACACUACUAAUUCAUUAAGAUAGGGAUCUGCAGAUUAACAUUUUAAGUGUUACUGAAAACAACAAAUUAUGUUAUUUAUAGAGAUUUGAAAUUAUACCUAUUUGAGGCUGCGAGUGCACAAAAUUUAAAACAUAAGAAUAAAAAUAUCUGCCACAGAAGAUUCAAAUCUUACAGGUUUCUACAAUUUACAUAAUGUGAAAAGCAACAACAGCAAUGCUCAUGAAGAAUGCAGAUGAUGUAUAACAGAGUUGGUUCUUACUCUGAUUGCAAACCAACCAUUAAGUCACUACCAGUCUAUUGCUUUCGUUUAAAAAACCAUUAUGUAGAUGAAAUAUACUUGCUUUCAGGUAAUUCUUUUAAUGAUUAAUUUUGCUGGUAUAUCACCAUGAGAUGUCACAGUAUGAUGAUAAUUAGUAAAUAUAAUAAAACAGUAGCUAAAUGUAACAAAUGAUAUUAUAAGUAGAUCAACACUGGUUUUCUAUGAGAGACGCUGUUGAGGUUUGUCCAAAGAUUCAAUAUCAGUUUUAAUUUUUACUAUUAAAUAAUUGGUGCAGCUUGAAAGAGAGAAAUUUCUAGAGAUGGGAGUUACAUUCAUUGUCAUAAUCAACUCCAAGUACUCGUCAUUGACUGCUCUGGGAUAUUUUGGCUCACAGGGCAGCAUUAAGGCCAAUGUUUGCACCUUUAUCUCAGUUGCUGGAAUUCUCUGGUACGCACUUUCUAUUAGGAAAGGUCUAGAUACACUGAAACAUAGCACAUUUGUAAAGCAGAUGAAGAAACUAGUCAGGAGGUUUGCUGACAGCAAAUUUUGUUUAGCUAGUUUUACUAUAAGCAAUUUACUCUACAUGUGCAUUUCUGCAUUCAAAUUGUUCUUUAUUAAGAUCCUUCCCUAAUAAUAUAAAAAUGUGUUUAUAAAGCCUGUAAGUGGUUUCUGUAAUAAGAUUUUUAAUGAGUUGGAAUAUUAAAUUAAGUUUUGUAGAAAUGCUUGAGGUGUUGUUAUAACUAACUUACAAACUGUACACCAUUAACUUUAUCAUAUAGAGUAAUUUUGGUUUCUAUUCAAGCAAUAUACAGCUCCGAAAUACUAACUGUCAGAUACUUUACACUGCAAAUGGAAUUUUGCUGACUAUUUAGCAAUAAUGUCUGUGGUUAUGAUAUCUGAGCCCCACAGGGAGAGCAAUUCAGCUGGUUGGUCAACCUGGGGGUGGGCUGCAUUGUCAGGUUGUGCGCUCCGUGCUGGGUGGCAUAAAGCAGAGCAGCCCAGAAGCACCACAGGCUGCUUAGCUGGCACUUGACAGAGACUGUCUGGCUCUCUGGGGUUUACAUUCUCUCCCCUUUGCUUACAUCUGGGUUUCCUUAAAAGUAAGAAAAUGUGCAGAGAUCCCCAAACAUUUACUGUCUCAAUGGCCAGUGCACAGCAGACGAAGCAUAGCUAACCUUAAGCUGCUCAUGUUUAAAUAAAAGUGAUUAAUGAGAUUGCAGAACAAGCAGCAAACGCAGAGUUUUUCAGUUGUGUUUUUGCACUCUAUAGUUAAUACAAAAUCAUCUAACAUAAGAUGUAUAACUUAGACUAUGGUUCUUCCUUACCCCCACCUUUUUUAAAACUUCUACUGAUAGUACAGGGAACUCAUGCUCCUAACUUUUGAAAGGCAGGUCUUCCAGAACAACUGAUUUUUGCUUGUAAGCUGCUGCCCUCUUUGCUCCUGGCAAAAAUGCUGUGUGUUGAUGCAGAUGAUGGUGUAACUAGGACCCGUAUAAGUCUUAUCAUCCAAGCAAAUAUGCCUUUGCCAUAAUGGGCAAUAUUUUUCAUGACCUGAUAGAUGAGGGAUAGAUGAGUUGUGCAGCUCUCCACUGUUUGGACAAGAGGCCAUCAGCAGCUGAGGAGUGAAACAGUGCAUCACACCUCAUGUGGAUGGCAGGAGUUCUCUAAAACGGAUGAUGUGGCUACUUUUCUUAGAGGUCUUUAACUUCAUUUGUAAAUCUACGGAUGCUUUUUGUUUCUUAUUCACAUUUUACUUCACCUUAUAUACUCUUCAUCUACUUUCUCACUUCUUAUCCUUUUGACUUAUUCAAGGUUUGUCAUAUCUCAGAGUGGCAGGUCAGUGAAAAAGCUCCCACUGAGUUGGAAGAAAAUGUGUUUUGUCAUUAUUUUGAUUUUGACUUUGAGAAGUUUGAACUGGUAUAAGACAAGCUCUGCUCUUCCAAACCCUGGUGCUGUGACAGUGGACCAGUGACAACAGCUUAUCCUGUCUCAACUCCUUCAUCUUCAAAAUGAUGGUGAGGAUAUGUACCUCUGUCAAGUGCUAGGAGAAGAAAAAGCAGCAUUAUAAAUAAAACCAAAGCAUUACUGUGAUCUAUUGUGUAGAUUUAGCAUCCAGCAUUAGUUGAAGUUUCUCACCCCAGGGAAGCAUGGAGCUGCUGGCCACGUAAGCUGGAAAGUGAAAAGCUAUCUGUCACUCUGGCAAGUUGUGCAUCCCAAGUGGAGACAGCAGCACAUAGAAAAAACACAACAUGCCAUAGGGAUGGCAAUGACUUUCUUGUUUCAAGCAGAAUCUGGUUAAGGUAUACUGUUAUUACUGCUUAGUUUAAAUUAAAAUACAUUAAAUGCUGCCAGUAAACUGAGAGCUGGCAGCAUUGAGAAACACGAAGCUGCUGCUGAAUAUUCUGCAAGGCUAACUGCAGUUAUUGAGGGACUUACCAUUGCAGCAAAUGGGCUGCAACAUCAGAUUUUAAGAUACUGGGGUAGUGCUGUUAAGCUGUGGUGCAUCUCAGAUGUGCUGCCUCUCCUCAUGAGAUUGACGUGGAUUCUGCUGUGCUCACCACACUCCAGUGCAGAGCACUGCAGGGCAUUCAGCCUGUUGAGAAAGGUCAAAACAAGACUACAUCAGCCUCUGAACCUAAAAACUCUGAACUCUUUGCUACCUAUUAGGAUGAAUGAAGAAAAGCUGUGUUUUGAUGUGUGACAUCCCAAAGAAUUGCUUGAGGCAGACGAGAAAGUUAGUGCUACUUAAAGGAAGGAGUGCUGUCUGUAAGCGGGAUCUCUCAAAGCACAGAGCACAGCCUGGCUCCAACAAGCUGCCUUCUAAACAGAAGCCGUCCACACUGAAUUGGCUGUAGAUUUGGUAAUGAGGUGCUCAUCUCAACAGUCAUUAAAAUGUUUCCACCUUUUUACUUGGUUAAAGAAAAGUCCUUUGUUCAUUGUAAGGUAUUACGGAAAUAAACGGUGUUUAAAGAAAUGGAGCAUGGCCUGGUGUAUGCUACCAGUAAAUGUUACUUUGUACAAUUCAUAACCUGUAACGUGCAUUGUUGCAGCCUGUGGAGGAAUAUGAGAACUGCUUUUGGCAGAACACUGAAAUAAACCAGUGCAUCUGGGAGGAAGCUGCCCCUGCCACAAGCCUGCACUGUGCCCAGCUGUACAGCCUCAGCUCUCUAAUUCAAAGACGGGUAAUACAAGCUCUUGACCUGAGCUCAUUUGUAAAUAUUAUAACUUGCUGCAGCUCACUAACUGCUCUGCUUGACUUCAAAAAUAUUUUUUCUUGCUUUGUUCUUUCUUUUUUCCUUGCAUUAAGAUGGUAUUCUAGACCUUGGCUUCUAAUAUCCUGGCUGCCAUGCUAUCAGCACUGAUAUUUAAAAAAAAAAAUAAGCAGAAAAAAGCAAAAUAUUUUAUCUAUUUGCUCACGUCUUCACCCAUGCACACUCAUUCUGAUAACUCUGAUACAGUAUUUCUGUAAGCUGUAAUUUUCUUUUUAUACCACAUUAAAUGAAGGGUGCCCAGAGAAAAUGAAAGAUGACUUAUGCUGAUCUGGGAGAGGAAGGUGGUACACAGUGAGCCUGGGACUGAUCCUCUUAAUGUCAUGCUGAUAUUGAUGAUAUACUUAAGUACUGCUUCUUUCUUUAUAAGGAUGUAGACUGGGGUAAGGCGGUAAGGUGAAAGACACACUGGAGUGCGACUCAGGGGAUAAGCAUGUAACUAAAAGUUUGCUGUGUCUCAGCUAUGGUCAGCAUUAUGACUGCUAGGAAUUUCUCCUGGCACUUCUACCAGGCUGUGAAAGCAAAAUGUGCGUAAAGUUUCUGUUCCUCUGCUUUCCCUCUCACCUGAACAGAAGUACCACUGUGUACUCUGUUACACAGAGGGGCUUCUGAUUCUCUCCUUCCUGCUCUUUUCAGAAAUGUUAUUUUCUAGAUUUUGUUAAAAUCUUAGUGAAGGAUGAAUUAAUGCAGUAUAAUAUGUUUUUCAAUUCAAGCCACAAUUAGAAUUUCUGCUGGUCCAAUUGCUUUUGAAGUAAGUAAAAACUUGGACAUACAAUCAGUUUGCCUCAUCUCCGUUUACUCUUGUGACAUUUAAUAAGAGUCCAUUGUAUCGAGAAUUAAGAAGCUAUACUCUGCAUCAAGUUCUGUGUGCCUGAAAUGCACCAUUCAGGCACCAUUUUCAGCUUAAUUAAAAUCUGGAUCCUUUUAUUAACAAGCUAUGACAACUGCAAACUUAGAGAACAAACCAGAACAUGACUUUUUCAGCUGUUUCCUUUCUGUGUGUUCUGCGAAUGCAGGUUGCCCAAAGGUAUCCCUUCCAUGCAGAGCCCUACAUCACUACUGUAUAAACUGUGCUUCUCACCUCUCGAUAGCUGGAAAUAGGUGCUGCAAAAGGGCUCCAGUAACCUGCAUUUCAGGAUUAUUACAGCUCUUGAGAUGUAAUGCUGUGAUUUUAGUCACCAUCCCUGCAAACUCUCUUAACAGAAGCAAUUUUGCAAUGAAAUAUCUUGUUGAAGCCAAGUAUUAAUUUACAAAAUCCAAAAUUGACAAUAGUAAAUACAGAAAUAAAACUGCCCAUAUCCUAAAAUCAAAUGCAAAAGCUUGUCCUUCUUAUUCUUGCUUCUCUAUAUUCUGCUUACUGGCUGUGGGUGGCUACCUAAUCCAUACUGCAAGGAAAUGUGCUCCCUGAGUUCCCAGGCUACACGACAGGAGAACCAAUGGCUGGGAGAUUGGCUUGCUGGCUUCCCUUCUUCCCCCUUCCCUGUCUUGUGGAUUACUCUGUGGGUCACUCAUAAACAAAUCCUUUUGCCCCUAUACUUUGUCUUAUCUGCUAUUGACUGCUAGCUCUUUUAGGAGGUAAUUUCAAAGUUCCCCUUCUGGAUGAUCCAGUGUCCUUACUUUCUGGGAGAUGCUAUUUCCCUUCAGUAGACUCGGUGUCAAAAUCCCCUCUGACUAAUGUGACUACUGAAAUCAUUGACCACUAAGAAGUGAAAUACUUUCUUUGCUAAGAUGAUGUCCAAAUCUGCAUUUAAUCUAUAAAUGUGUCGUACUUCAUACAAGCCUCUAGCUGGGAUUGAUGCUUGUGUCUUAUUAUUAGAUCCUCAUAGACACUGUGUAUGAUGGUAAUCAAUGAUUUGAGGAUGAUAAUAAGUUUGGGUUUGUAGACUCCCCAUACUAUCAUUUACAGAUACUCUGGCAACCCCUAAGCAGUUGAUAACAAUCCCAACAUGUAUGUAUUUAGGCUGACUAUUCAGCUUGAGUUUAGUACGGGAGCUAGCACUUCUCAGACAGCUAAUGUGUCAGGCUGUCCCUACCUCCAGCAGUGAAAGAAUUUUAAAAGUAUUUUUCUGACCAUAACAGUUGGGAAUGCUGGGAACAUACAGUGGAACACCACCACAGAGGAAGGAAUCUGUAGCCAAUCCGAAUCUAGGCUUUCUUGAAUAUUUGGGGAUUUUAAAUACAACUUUUUAAUGUCCCAUAAAACAAACAUUUUAAUUAAUUUCUACGUGGAGCAUUUUAUUGUUGGAGAUAUCGAAUUCAAAAGCAUGAUUGUCCUGUUAACAAAGAAUCCCACUGCCAAUACGACAGCUCUCAAGGUACUGUGGUGGUGAGAGUGGAAGACUUGGGACUCAAGCCUAAGCCUCUUUUUCUUGCUCUGCUACCAUGCUGCUCUGUGACCUGAAAUGAACCAGUAUGUCCCAAAAUAAAAACAUACAAUGAUUACUAUACAUAUAAUGGAUUUUACAAAGGACUUGUAAGAAUUUUUACUGGUACCACAUUUGUGAUCUUUGGAUGAAAGGUAAUGCUCAGAUAAAUUUGCUUCAAGAAAAAUAAGCCCUCCUAACUUAUGAAUGCUGUUAACUUGUUAAUUCUGGUAAACUCCAGCCUACUUUGUUUUAUUUGUGCUCUUAUGAGAAAAAUAGAGUGAAAAUGGCUGAAAGGGGAGAAUGUAGAGGAGUAUGGAUAUUACUCCUGCAAUUCUUGUUGGCUUUAAGGUUUUGUUACUGUAAAGCUCCACUAUAAAUGUAUUGUCCAACUGAGUGUGGUCUUAACAGGGCAUUGCACAGUGUCACAUCUAAUUCUGAAAGUGACAGUGUGAGGAAGCAUGCUAUGAGUAAGGAGUAAGUUAAGGAGCUGGGUACUGUGAUAGCCUUUUAUUUUACAGUCUGCCAGUAAUGAAAAUAUGUGGUCUCUGAACAAGAACAUGCUGUAUACUAAAACUUUCCCUUUUCAACUGAGCAUGUAAGUCUGCUGUUUCUCUAGCACUAAGAAUAUGCCUUUAGCUUUGUUAGAUAAUUAAAAGCCAGACAUUUAAGGUUUAGGUCUGGUGGUCUCUAAGCUUUAAGUCUGAAGAUCGCAGCAACAUUUUGAGAUAUGAAUACAGCUAAGAACCAAAACAAAUGCAGGGCAAUUGGUUUCUGGAAAGAAAUAACAAUUCCCAGAGCCAAGAAAGAAGUUCAGAGAUAUGUAAACAGAGUCUCUACAGCUCUUAGGAUUGUGUUUGUGUAGAGCCCUGUUUUGUUCAGUAGUGUGUGUCUGUAACAGGAGAGAGCUGCAUUGCCUCAGGUUGGGUUGGAGCUGUGAGAUACCUCGCGCCUCUGAGAGUGCUGCUCAUCCCUGAGUGGGGUCAGCAGCUUUGACUCCUUCCCCAGCCAGCGAGCUCACACGCCCCAAAGCCAGGGCUUAACUCUGCCUGCCCCUGUGUAAAAGCUGGAGGAAUUUGACUACCCCACCACUCAAGUCCCUCUGAAAACCUGUACCAGGAGCACAGCAUUCUAGUGUUUUGAUUGCUUAUCACAUGACAGCAACUUCUCAG
ensembl:lncRNA